CCUGCCAUUCGACUGACAGUAGCCUAAGGAGACAUGCGUCACUGGCAACGGUGAGGUGUGAAGCUUUCCUGACAAUGUAACCCCCGCAAGGGUGUCGUCCCGCCGUGAGGCGGAUCGGCAGAGACUCCGAGCAGCAAUGGGGUCGAGG
rnacentral:ncRNA from 1 species